UUUAUGGAGAGUUUGAUCCUGGCUCAGGAUGAACGCUGGCGGCGUGCCUAAUACAUGCAAGUCGAGCGAACAGACAAGGAGCUUGCUCCUUUGACGUUAGCGGCGGACGGGUGAGUAACACGUGGGUAACCUACCUAUAAGACUGGGAUAACUUCGGGAAACCGGAGCUAAUACCGGAUAAUAUUUCGAACCGCAUGGUUCGAUAGUGAAAGAUGGUUUUGCUAUCACUUAUAGAUGGACCCGCGCCGUAUUAGCUAGUUGGUAAGGUAACGGCUUACCAAGGCGACGAUACGUAGCCGACCUGAGAGGGUGAUCGGCCACACUGGAACUGAGACACGGUCCAGACUCCUACGGGAGGCAGCAGUAGGGAAUCUUCCGCAAUGGGCGAAAGCCUGACGGAGCAACGCCGCGUGAGUGAUGAAGGUCUUCGGAUCGUAAAACUCUGUUAUUAGGGAAGAACAUACGUGUAAGUAACUAUGCACGUCUUGACGGUACCUAAUCAGAAAGCCACGGCUAACUACGUGCCAGCAGCCGCGGUAAUACGUAGGUGGCAAGCGUUAUCCGGAAUUAUUGGGCGUAAAGCGCGCGUAGGCGGUUUUUUAAGUCUGAUGUGAAAGCCCACGGCUCAACCGUGGAGGGUCAUUGGAAACUGGAAAACUUGAGUGCAGAAGAGGAAAGUGGAAUUCCAUGUGUAGCGGUGAAAUGCGCAGAGAUAUGGAGGAACACCAGUGGCGAAGGCGACUUUCUGGUCUGUAACUGACGCUGAUGUGCGAAAGCGUGGGGAUCAAACAGGAUUAGAUACCCUGGUAGUCCACGCCGUAAACGAUGAGUGCUAAGUGUUAGGGGGUUUCCGCCCCUUAGUGCUGCAGCUAACGCAUUAAGCACUCCGCCUGGGGAGUACGACCGCAAGGUUGAAACUCAAAGGAAUUGACGGGGACCCGCACAAGCGGUGGAGCAUGUGGUUUAAUUCGAAGCAACGCGAAGAACCUUACCAAAUCUUGACAUCCUUUGACAACUCUAGAGAUAGAGCCUUCCCCUUCGGGGGACAAAGUGACAGGUGGUGCAUGGUUGUCGUCAGCUCGUGUCGUGAGAUGUUGGGUUAAGUCCCGCAACGAGCGCAACCCUUAAGCUUAGUUGCCAUCAUUAAGUUGGGCACUCUAAGUUGACUGCCGGUGACAAACCGGAGGAAGGUGGGGAUGACGUCAAAUCAUCAUGCCCCUUAUGAUUUGGGCUACACACGUGCUACAAUGGAUAAUACAAAGGGCAGCGAAACCGCGAGGUCAAGCAAAUCCCAUAAAGUUGUUCUCAGUUCGGAUUGUAGUCUGCAACUCGACUACAUGAAGCUGGAAUCGCUAGUAAUCGUAGAUCAGCAUGCUACGGUGAAUACGUUCCCGGGUCUUGUACACACCGCCCGUCACACCACGAGAGUUUGUAACACCCGAAGCCGGUGGAGUAACCAUUUGGAGCUAGCCGUCGAAGGUGGGACAAAUGAUUGGGGUGAAGUCGUAACAAGGUAGCCGUAUCGGAAGGUGCGGCUGGAUCACCUCCUUU
rnacentral:rRNA from 1 species